CGGUGAGGUUCACUCAUGGAAAUUGUUUUCCUCUUUCGAGAUUUUCUCCCUAUUAAAACUCUCUUAUCUUGAUGUUUUAAUCUGAUUGCAUGUGAAUAUAUGUAGAUAUAGGUAUAUGCGUAGCCUUAAAUUUGGUGAGAUUAUUAAGAAUCUGUUGGAAUAGGGUUAGGGGCUCUAUAUCUAGGCCAAGUUGUCGAAUCUAGGAUUUCGUUUUCUUACAUUUUGUGGGGUACUUUUUUUUUUUUUAAUUUUGGGUAAUGUGCUUACAUAACUAUAUUUUAUCUCAUAUAUAAA
rnacentral:lncRNA from 1 species